rnacentral:misc_RNA from 1 species
GCCUUUCCCCAGAGUUUCAAGUGGGCUUCGAUGGAAUAGUUUAUGCCUUCUCAGCUUAUGCAGUCAUGUCGGUAACCCAAUUUAGUGCUAGCUCAUUAGUCUCUUCUUAUGAUUCCUAGCGCCCAACACAAUUGCUGUCAAUUACAAAGUCUGGGAUAAAAUUGAUAAAAUUUUUAAAAAUCACGUGUAAUUGACAAUCCAUGCAAGUUUUGACGGGAUCGUUAACCCUCAGCUAAUUGUUGAUGUUGUACUCCAAAUUAGGAACUACUGCAUGGGAAGCUAGGAACAUGAACAAGGAGAACUUGAAGAAAUCAUCUGUUUCUUACUAGAUAGACCUAGAAUUGCUUUAAAGAUUUUUUAUGAAUCUGAUCCAGUUGCUUUGCUUUGAAGAUUUGAGUUGUUGAACUUGCAACACUACAAGGAAUUUUGACUUUGCCAACAGAUUAUGUCUGUUGUUGGCAACCACAUUGGUAAUUUCUCAGCAACAGACUACACAAUCCGUUGGUGAUUACCAACAGACAUUCGGUUGGCAUUGGCAUCGGAUUAGCCAAUCUGUUGGCAAAUGAAAUGAAUUUCAACGCAUAUCUGAGAAGGAAUUACCAAUGGAAUUGAAUAUUACCAACAAUUGGUGAUUGGUAAUCCGUUGGUGUUUGGUUUGGAGAGUAUGGCUAACUUCCAAUGGAUUCAUGCCGUUGCUAUUUCCAACGGCUUUGUCGUUGGUGGUCUGUUGGUAAUUGGACACUUUUGUUGUUGUUGUUGUUGUUGGUGUUG